rnacentral:lncRNA from 1 species
CUAACAGAUGCUGUCCAUCCCUACCUCACACCUAGGAGAACAACUAAGUGCUCUCCUCAAAGCUCAGGAUACGAUACAACAAGGCCAGACUGGCGCCAACAGACAAAGGACCUUAGUAACUCCACUCAAGGAUUUUGCCAGAAGUUAUCAGCGCAACCUCUCCAGAGACCCUCGAAAGGCCUUGAGGAGCAUGGCGUACGGGAGGAUGUUCCUGCGGUUCUGCCCUGCAUGGACAGAUCACCUGCUUCAGCAAUGUCAUCACCUGCCUGAUUUCAAAUAUUACUGCUUCUUGAACAUUUUUUGUUGCUAGGCCGGUAUCAGCCUGAUGCCAAUUAGUUAUCAGGCUGGUACUGUGGAUGGUCCAACCACACGUGGUCUUGCCCCACACAUUAUACACCGUGCACUUGACCGCUCUACUACCUUGUGAAGAAACAGCUUGUAGAGGCCAAUUAAUUUCCUCAGCACCUACCUUACCUGGUUCCUGCUCUCUCCUUCCACACUGGAAUGAGGCCCCCAGAUGCCUGGCACUCAAGCACCCCUGCUACCACUGAAAUUGAAAAAUACGAUAUUGACCACCAUAGAGCUCCAUUCAGAGAUGGUAAUUGAUAUUAGGAAACAGCCUGUCAUUCCCCUGCAGGAUAUUUCAAUACUAGAUAGAGACUGGAUUCCUGAACUUGACAGAAAGGUACACCUUUCUUAGAAAACUGAAAAUGAAAGGUGAAAAGUGAUGAAGUAAAAAUGGAUAACUUCUACAUAUAUAUACCUAUGAAAUAUAUACACAUAUACCUAAUGGUAUCGAUACACCCAGUUAUAAUUUAAAAAGCACACUUUAAGGUCAACAGUAAGGAGAAAGAAUAGUAAACUCAUGAUAUUUCUCUUAGUUUCCCAAGCUAACUUUUGAGUAAGCUGUUAUGUCAUGAUUUGGGCCAGAACUGUCUAUUGUAUAUAAAACUUAAGAUUUCAAAACAAAGAGCCAGGUUCA